GCCUCGAUAGCUCAGUCGGUAGAGCAGAGGAUUGAAAAUCCUCGUGUCGGUGGUUCGAUUCCGCCUCAGUAGGUA
rnacentral:tRNA from 1 species